ensembl:lncRNA
GCGGAGGGGAUGGGCCCAGGAGGAGGUAUUCGGCGGGAGCCGGCGCCGGGCGAUCGCUUCCAGCCCCCUGAGCCCUCUCCCUCAAGGGAAGGGCACACUCACUGACCCUCCGGAGCCUCCAAAACAGAAGUCACUGAAACCUGCAUCUUCCUUCUCUGCCCCCCUCGCCCUCUCCCUCCUGCAGUUGAAGACAUAUAAAUAUGUUCCAUCACUGUGUACAUUGGAAAUUCUAAACCUGACUGACAUCUGGAAUGCAACUGAAUCAGCAUGACCUGACAGAGCUACCCAAGCUUUACAAGGAUUUUGAAUAAAAUCAGCUCUGAUUCCCCUCUGCUGAAAAUCAUCUGUUUUUCAACCAAACUCACAUAUUAAAUAUGAUUUUUAUGACCUCUAUUAUAUUAUACCUUGCCUUGAGACUAGGCAUGCAACUUAUCUGCAUCUAUUUUUUCUUAUGCUAGAUUGUAACCUACUUGUAGUUUGAGCCUAUUUAAAUGAAUCUUUUAUCUGCAUAUACUAUGACCGCUGACACUUAAAAGUGAAAGUGAAAGUUGCUCAGUCUGGAAUUCUCCAGACCAGAAUACUGGAGUGGGUAGCCUUUCCCUUCUCUAGGGGAAUCUUCCCAAUCCGGGGAUCGAACCCAGGUCUCUUGCAUUGCAGGCGGAUUCUUUACCAGCUGAGCCACAGUAGGAGUUCAAUAAAUGUGUACUAAAUAAGUAAAUGGGCUUCCCUGGUGGCUCAGCUGUAAAGAAUCCACCUUCGAUGCAGAAGACACAUAUUUGAUCCCUGGGUCAGGAAGAUCUCCUGGAGAAGGAAAUGGCAACCCACUCCAGUAUUCUUGCCUGGGAAAUCCCAUGGGCAGAGGAGCCUGGCAGGCUAUAGUCCAUGGGGUUGCAAAAGAGUCAGAUACAACUUAGCGACUAAACAACAACAAAUUAGUAAAUAUUAACAGAAACUUUGGGUCAAAAAAAUGACCAUUUACUUGUUAAAAGUUAUUGAUAGGGAGACUUCCCUG